AUUGAACGCUGGCGGCAGGCCUAACACAUGCAAGUCGAACGGUAACAGGAAACAGCUUGCUGUUUCGCUGACGAGUGGCGGACGGGUGAGUAAUGUCUGGGAAACUGCCUGAUGGAGGGGGAUAACUACUGGAAACGGUAGCUAAUACCGCAUAACGUCGCAAGACCAAAGAGGGGGACCUUCGGGCCUCUUGCCAUUGGAUGUGCCCAGAUGGGAUUAGCUAGUAGGUGGGGUAACGGCUCACCUAGGCGACGAUCCCUAGCUGGUCUGAGAGGAUGACCAGCCACACUGGAACUGAGACACGGUCCAGACUCCUACGGGAGGCAGCAGUGGGGAAUAUUGCACAAUGGGCGCAAGCCUGAUGCAGCCAUGCCGCGUGUAUGAAGAAGGCCUUCGGGUUGUAAAGUACUUUCAGCGGGGAGGAAGGGAGUAAAGUUAAUACCUUUGCUCAUUGACGUUACCCGCAGAAGAAGCACCGGCUAACUCCGUGCCAGCAGCCGCGGUAAUACGGAGGGUGCAAGCGUUAAUCGGAAUUACUGGGCGUAAAGCGCACGCAGGCGGUUUGUUAAGUCAGAUGUGAAAUCCCCGGGCUCAACCUGGGAACUGCAUCUGAUACUGGCAAGCUUGAGUCUCGUAGAGGGGGGUAGAAUUCCAGGU
rnacentral:rRNA from 1 species